UACGUAGGGUGCAAGCGUUGUCCGGAAUUAUUGGGCGUAAAGAGCUUGUAGGCGGUUUGUCGCGUCUGCUGUGAAAUUUCGGGGCUCAACCCCGAACUUGCAGUGGGUACGGGCAGACUAGAGUGUGGUAGGGGAGACUGGAAUUCCUGGUGUAGCGGUGAAAUGCGCAGAUAUCAAGUGGAACACCAGUGGCGAAGGCGAGUCCCUGGACGACUCCUGACACUGAGGCACGAAAGCUAGGGGAGCAAACAGG
rnacentral:rRNA from 1 species